AAUUUCCUUGGCUUCUUGCUGCAGUCACGUAACAGGUAGUCAGCCUGCCACGCAGUCUCUCCUCGUUGAGUGCAAUGUUAUCGGCCAUAAUCGGUGUCCAAAACGACGAUCACCGAUUGUUAUGAAAACUUGAAAUCGGCCCUAAUUAAUCGGCCUUCCGAUUAAUCCGUCAACCUCUAUACAAAACCCUUAUACCUCUGAAAUGGCAGGGUGAGAUAAUGCUACUGAUAGCCUACAUGGACAGGGUGAGAUUAAUGCUACUGGUAGUCUUGCGGACAGGGUGAGAUUAAUGCUCCUGGUAGCCUACAUGGCAGGUGAGAUAAUGCUACUGGUAGCCUACAUGGACGGUGGAUUAAUGCUACUGAUCCUACAUGGCAGGGUGAGAUUUGCUACUGGUAGUCUAUGCGGACAGGGUGAGAUUAAUGCUCCUGGUAGCCUACAUGGACAGGGUGAGAUUAAUGCUACUGGUAGCCUACAUGGACAGGGUGAGAUUAAUGUACUGUAGCCUACAUGGACAGGGUGAGAUUAAUGCUACGGGUAGUCUAUGUGGACAGGGUGAGAUUAAUGCUACUGUUAGCCUACAUGGACAAGGUGAGAUUAAUGCUACUGUAGCCUACAUGGACAUGGUGAGAUUAAUGCUACUGGUAGCCUACAUGGACAAGGUGAGUUAAUGCUACUGGUAGCCUACAUGGACAGGCUUUAUCGGUGUGCUUGCAUCACCAACAUCUCUACUGGUAGGCUGUAAAUUCAGUCUAUUUGAAUGCCAAUGCAAAGU
rnacentral:lncRNA from 1 species